CCUACGGGAGGCAGCAGUGGGGAAUAUUGGACAAUGGGCGAAAGCCUGAUCCCGCCAUGCCGCGUGUGUGAAGAAGGCCUUCGGGUUGUAAAGCACUUUCAGUGGGGAAGAAAGCCUUGGGGCUAAUACCCUCGAGGAAGGACAUCACCCACAGAAGAAGCACCGGCUAACUCCGUGCCAGCAGCCGCGGUAAUACGGAGGGUGCGAGCGUUAAUCGGAAUUACUGGGCGUAAAGCGCGCGUAGGCGGUCUGAUAAGCCGGUUGUGAAAGCCCCGGGCUCAACCUGGGAACGGCAUCCGGAACUGUCAGGCUAGAGUGCAGGAGAGGAAGGUAGAAUUCCCGGUGUAGCGGUGAAAUGCGUAGAGAUCGGGAGGAAUACCAGUGGCGAAGGCGGCCUUCUGGACUGACACUGACGCUGAGGUGCGAAAGCGUGGGUAGCAAACAGGAUUAGAUACCCCAGUAGUC
rnacentral:rRNA from 1 species